rnacentral:rRNA from 1 species
UACGUAGGCAGCGAGCGUUGUUCGGAGUUACUGGGCGUAAAGGGUGUGUAGGCGGUUGUUUAAGUUUGGUGUGAAAUCUCCCGGCUCAACUGGGAGGGUGCGCCGAAUACUGAAUGACUAGAGUGCGGGAGAGGAAAGUGGAAUUCCUGGUGUAGCGGUGAAAUGCGUAGAUAUCGGGAGGAACACCUGUGGCGAAGGCGGCCCCCUGGUUGGAUACUGACGCUGAGACGCGAAAGCGUGGGGAGCAAACAGG